ACAUGUCGACUACGCGGGAGAAAAAGGAUAGUGUGCGUACAGGAAGUCACAAGUAGUGCGGUGAUAAUAAUCACAACAAAAUGAAACAUGCGGCUUUUUUUCAACACAAAUACCAAUCAUUCGAUGGAAAUAAUUAUUACAUGGACCACCUCGUUGUUCAAUUCGUUCAAUUGAUGAAAUAUAAAGUUU
ensembl:lincRNA linc-35 ncRNA